UCAUAUGCUUGUCUCAAAGAUUAAGCCAUGCAUGUCUCAGUACAAGCCACAUUAAGGUGAAACGCGGAAAGGCUCAUUAAAUCAGUUAUGGUUCCUUAGAUCGUACCACAUUUACUUGGAUAACUGUGGUAAUUCUAGAGCUAAUACAUGCAAACAGAGCUCCGACCGGAGACGGAAGGAGCGCUUUUAUUAGAUCAAAACCAAUCGGUGGCGGGCUCCGCCGUCAUCGUACAUUUUGGUGACUCGGAAUAACUUUUUGCUGAUCGCACGGUCUAGCACCGGCGACGCAUCUUUCAAAUGUCUGCCUUAUCAACUGUCGAUGGUAGGUUCUGCGCCUACCAUGGUUGUAACGGGUAACGGGGAAUCAGGGUUCGAUUCCGGAGAGGGAGCCUGAGAAACGGCUACCACAUCCAAGGAAGGCAGCAGGCGCGCAAAUUACCCACUCCCGGCACGGGGAGGUAGUGACGAAAAAUAACGAUACGGGACUCAUCCGAGGCCCCGUAAUCGGAAUGAGUACACUCUAAACCCUUUAACGAGGAUCAAUUGGAGGGCAAGUCUGGUGCCAGCAGCCGCGGUAAUUCCAGCUCCAAUAGCGUAUAUUAAAGUUGUUGCGGUUAAAAAGCUCGUAGUCGAAUCUGUGUCUUGUGCCGCCGGUGCAUCGCUCGCGGUGUUUAACUGGCGUGACCGCGAGACGUCCUGCCGGUGGGCUUAGCCCCGUAAAACGGGCGGCCCAACUUGAAAUCCCACCGCGGUGCUCUUGACUGAGUGUCGAGGUGGGCCGGCACGUUUACUUUGAACAAAUUAGAGUGCUUAAAGCAGGCUAAAACUUCGCCUGAAUACUGUGUGCAUGGAAUAAUGGAAUAGGACCUCGGUUCUAUUUUGUUGGUUUUCGGAACCCGAGGUAAUGAUUAAUAAGAACGGAUGGGGGCAUUCGUAUUGCGACG
rnacentral:rRNA from 1 species